CUUGCAUACCUAUAAGAGGUCCAGCCUGCCCAGUGACUCUGUUCAACGGCCGCGGUAUCCUAACCGUGCGAAGGUAGCGUAAUCACUUGUUCUUUAAAUGAGGACUAGUAUGAAUGGCAUCACGAAGGUUAUACUGUCUCCUCUUUCCAAUCAGUGAAACUAAUCUCCCCGUGAAGAAGCGGGGAUAACUUUAUAAGACGAGAAGACCCUAUGGAGCUUUAAACUAAGAAUCAACUGACUUUUCCACUUUUAAAUUCCAGAAAACUAACUUUUACCAAGACACUCUGAUUUCUAGUUUUAGGUUGGGGUGACCACGGAGUAAAAACUAACCUCCGCAAUGAACAGGGAUCUUCCCUUAACCAAGGACCACAACCCUAAGAAUCAACACAUUGACAUCAAUUGACCCAAAAAUUUGAUCAAUGAAC
rnacentral:rRNA from 1 species